UCCAGAGGAAGGCUGCUCUCUUUCCCCAUCACAUGUCACCAGACUCUUGCUAGACAGAAGCCUGGCCCGGAGCACUCCAUCUGCAGCCCAGAGUCGCCCGCCAGCCACCACUCUGGCUCUGGCUCUCUGGCCUGGACCUGCUUGGCUGUUCAUCAGAGGACCUGUGUUGUCUUAAACCCCCAGCCGAGCAGCAGGGUGGCUCCCCGUCUUCCUCACUCCCAUUCCUGCUCUCUGAGCCCUGCUGUGGAUGAAUGCCACCCGAAUUCAGCCAGGAUUCAGUAACAAGCACCUCUUCGGCAAAGCCCACUUCCCUCUCACGCUUGAUUCCCCGACCAUCCUUAUCAAAGACCUUCCAGGUAAACAGGCAGCCAUCCUCAGCAACGGUCAGC